CCUUUUUAUUGUUUUUUUCUUUGAUCUGGAUCUGUGUUGGUUUGGUGGUGGUGUUUCACGGUUUUGAUGUUUGUGAAUGGGGUUUGAUUCGAGUAUGAUGGUCUUGGUUGGAUUGAGUUGGUGCUGAAAAUGGUGAUUCGGUUCUGAAAACGGCUUGGAUCGGAUCCGGGUUGAUGAAUGGCCUUGAUUCGGUUUUGUGAAAGAUCUGUUUUUUUUUUUUGUCUGUUGGGCCCUCCCUUUUUGCUGGUUUGUGGGUUUGUAUUUAUAGAACUGGAUUGGAGACAUGGAACUUGUUGAAGGACAGACAGCAACUGCCUUGGCUUGGGAUUAAGGGGACAUGAAUGGGCUGGCGACAGCUGUGUGGAUUGGAACAAAAAUAUGAUAUUUUUGGACAUAAAAAAUAAAUAAUAAUAAAAAGGAAAAAAUAGAAAGACUAAAAAAUAAAAUCUAAAUGAGUUAAUUAAAUUAAAAGGAAUUUAAAUAAAAGAUGGAAACUAAAAAAAGAUAAAAAAUGAAAAUUGGGAGAAGAGGGCCCGACUCGGAAUC
rnacentral:lncRNA from 1 species